UACGAGGGUGGCAAGCGUUGCUCGGAUUCAUUGGGUGUAAAGGGCAAGUAGGCGGUUUGGUAAGUCGGAUGUGAAAGCCCCGGGCUCAACCUGGGAAAUGCAUCUGAUACUGCUGAACUUGAGGACGAGAGAGGAAAGUGGAAUAUCCGGUGUAAGGGUGAAAUCUGUAGAUAUCGGAUAGAACACCAGUGGCGAAGGCGACUUUCUGGCUCGUAUCUGACGCUGAGAGGCGAAAGCUAGGGGAGCGAACAGG
rnacentral:misc_RNA from 1 species